rnacentral:rRNA from 1 species
UACGGAGGGUGCAAGCGUUAUCCGGAUUUACUGGGUUUAAAGGGUGCGUAGGUGGGUAGGAAAGUCAGUGGUGAAAUCUUCGGGCUUAACCCGGAAACUGCCAUUGAUACUAUUUAUCUUGAAUACUUUGGAGGUAAGCGGAAUAUGUCAUGUAGCGGUGAAAUGCUUAGAUAUGACAUAGAACACCAAUUGCGAAGGCAGCUCACUACACGAAUAUUGACACUGAGGCACGAAAGCGUGGGGAUCAAACAGG